ACGAACGCUGGCGGCGUGCUUAACACCUGCAAGUCGAACGGAAAGGCCCUGCUUUUGUGGGGUGCUCGAGUUGCGAACGGGUGAGUAACACGUGAGUAACCUGCCCUUGACUUUGGGAUAACUUCAGGAAACUGGGGCUAAUACCGGAUAGGAGCUCCUGCUGCAUGGUGGGGGUUGGAAAGUUUCGGCGGUUGGGGAUGGACUCGCGGCUUAUCAGCUUGUUGGUGGGGUAGUGGCUUACCAAGGCUUUGACGGGUAGCCGGCCUGAGAGGGUGACCGGCCACAUUGGGACUGAGAUACGGCCCAGACUCCUACGGGAGGCAGCAGUGGGGAAUAUUGCACAAUGGGCGGAAGCCUGAUGCAGCAACGCCGCGUGCGGGAUGACGGCCUUCGGGUUGUAAACCGCUUUCGCCUGUGACGAAGCGUGAGUGACGGUAAUGGGUAAAGAAGCACCGGCUAACUACGUG
rnacentral:rRNA from 1 species